GAGGCAAAGUGGGCUGGGCCAACC
rnacentral:siRNA from 1 species